AGAGUUUGAUCAUGGCUCAGGAUGAACGCUAGCUACAGGCUUAACACAUGCAAGUCGAGGGGCGGCAUGGUCUUAGCUUGCUAAGAUUGAUGGCGACCGGCGCACGGGUGAGUAACGCGUAUCCAACCUUCCCUAUAGUAGGGGAUAGCCCGUAGAAAUGCGGAUUAAUACCCUAUGUUGUAUUUCGAUGACAUCUGACGAAUACCAAAGGUUCACCGCUAUAGGAUGGGGAUGCGUCUGAUUAGGUAGUCGGCGGGGUAACGGCCCACCGAGCCAACGAUCAGUAGGGGUUCUGAGAGGAAGGUCCCCCACAUUGGAACUGAGACACGGUCCAAACUCCUACGGGAGGCAGCAGUGAGGAAUAUUGGUCAAUGGGCGAGAGCCUGAACCAGCCAAGUAAGCGUGCAGGAUGACGGCCCUAUGGGUUGUAAACUGCUUUUAUGCGGGGAUAAAGUGGGGGACGUGUCCCCCUUUGUAGGUACCGCAUGAAUAAGGACCGGCUAAUUCCGUGCCAGCCGCCGC
rnacentral:rRNA from 1 species